rnacentral:rRNA from 1 species
ACCGAUAGUGAACCAGUACCGUGAGGGAAAGGUGAAAAGCACCCCGGAAGGGGAGUGAAAUAGAACCUGAAACCGUGUGCUUACAAGUAGUCAGAGCCCGUUAAUGGGUGAUGGCGUGCCUUUUGUAGAAUGAACCGGCGAGUUACGAUUUGAUGCAAGGUUAAGCAGUAAAUGUGGAGCCGUAGCGAAAGCGAGUCUGAAUAGGGCGUUUAGUAUUUGGUCGUAGACCCGAAACCAGGUGAUCUACCCUUGGUCAGGUUGAAGUUCAGGUAACACUGAAUGGAGGACCGAACCGACUUACGUUGAAAAGUGAGCGGAUGAACUGAGGGUAGCGGAGAAAUUCCAAUCGAACCUGGAGAUAGCUGGUUCUCUCCGAAAUAGCUUUAGGGCUAGCCUCAAGUGAUGAUUAUUGGAGGUAGAGCACUGUUUGGACGAGGGGCCCCUCUCGGGUUACCGAAUUCAGACAAACUCCGAAUGCCAAUUAAUUUAACUUGGGAGUCAGAACAUGGGUGAUAAGGUCCGUGUUCGAAAGGGAAACAGCCCAGACCACCAGCUAAGGUCCCAAAAUAUAUGUUAAGUGGAAAAGGAUGUGGCGUUGCCCAGACAACUAGGAUGUUGGCUUAGAAGCAGCCAUCAUUUAAAGAGUGCGUAAUAGCUCACUAGUCGAGUGACACUGCGCCGAAAAUGUACCGGGGCUAAACAUAUUACCGAAGCUGUGGAUUGUCCUUUGGACAAUGGUAGGAGAGCGUUCUAAGGGCGUUGAAGCAUGAUCGUAAGGACAUGUGGAGCGCUUAGAAGUGAGAAUGCCGGUGUGAGUAGCGAAAGACGGGUGAGAAUCCCGUCCACCGAUUGACUAAGGUUUCCAGAGGAAGGCUCGUCCGCUCUGGGUUAGUCGGGUCCUAAGCUGAGGCCGACAGGCGUAGGCGAUGGAUAACAGGUUGAUAUUCCUGUACCACCUAUAAUCGUUUUAAUCGAUGGGGGGACGCAGUAGGAUAGGCGAAGCGUGCGAUUGG